CCGGAGGCGUCCUUCAGCUGACCCCUAAACAAAUAUAUACUGGUUCAGUGAUAAUGAACCCAAUACUAAACUCCAAAUUGUACACAAGAAACUAAAAGUUAAAAUAAUACAAGACUAACAAAGGCCAGAGGCUCCUGACUUGGGACAGGCGCAAAAAUGCGGCGGGGUUAAACAUGUUUGUGAGAUCUCAACCCUCCCCCUAUACCUCUAGCCAAUGCAGAAAAGUAAAUGCAUAACAAUACGCACAUUAAAAUUCAGCCCAAGAGAAGUCCGAGUCUGAUGUCAGAAG
rnacentral:lncRNA from 1 species